GUAGGUGGCAAGCGUUGUCCGGAAUUAUUGGGCGUAAAGCGCGCGCAGGCGGUUCUUUAAGUCUGAUGUGAAAGCCCACGGCUCAACCGUGGAGGGUCAUUGGAAACUGGAGAACUUGAGUACAGAAGAGGAAAGCGGAAUUCCACGUGUAGCGGUGAAAUGCGUAGAGAUGUGGAGGAACACCAGUGGCGAAGGCGGCUUUCUGGUCUGUAACUGACGCUGAGGCGCGAAAGCGUGGGGAGCAAACAGGAUUAGACACCCUGGUAGUCCACGCCGUAAACGAUGAGUGCUAAGUGUUAGGGGGGUUUCCGCCCCCCUUAGUGCUGCAGCUAACGCAUUAAGCACUCCGCCUGGGAGUACGGCCGCAAGGCUG
rnacentral:rRNA from 1 species